rnacentral:misc_RNA from 1 species
UGGCGGUGCAGUUUAAUCGAUGUUUGUGCGUUAAGGCUUGUCACAACCACAGAGUGAAAUUGAGAAAAUAUUUGUCCGACCAGUUUUUGCAUAAACUAAUAUAAUACUGAUAAACUCGAAACUACAAACAACAACAGUAAUUUUGACUUGUUAUUUCAUCGAGUUUUGCAAUGCUAGAUUUGACUCAUUGAUGUACCUGGGAUAUUAGAGGUUGCUACAUAUGUGAGUGAUAAUGACUUCUUUAAAUGAAACAACAGUUUUAUGUCGAACCAGGGCUCAGGAUUUGAGGAGUGUGAAAAAGCUUAAUUGCUGGGGCAGUGAAUUGUGUGAUGUCAGCAUUAUUAAGCAUAUGCCUAAUGUUGAAGUUUUGUCACUAAGUGUGAAUCAUCUAUCAAGUUUGGCUGACUUUGCUCACUGCCCGAACCUUCAAGAACUUUAUAUAAGGAAGAACAACAUUUCUAAUAUCAAUGAAAUUUGUUACCUACAAAAAGUACCAAAACUUCGAAGUCUUUGGUUAGCUGACAAUCCAUGUGCAGAGAAAGAAAAUUACCGCAUGACAGUCUUACGUGCAUUGCCACAUCUUCAGAAGCUUGAUAACUUAAUGGUUCAGCCAGAGGAAAUAGUCCGAGCCAAGAAAGAAGGUGAUAUUUUAAUCCAUCCUGAAGAUAUUGUAGAGAGGGAUGAAUCUCCAUUAGGAACCAGGGAGAUGCAUUCUGUAAAACCAGUUCACAUUCCAUCCUCUGUUCCACAAGCCAGAGAAUUUGAUCGCAAUGACUUAAGGAAGGAGGAACUUUGCCCAACUCGACCAGAAGUUUUAAUGGAGUUAGAUUUAAGAAAAGAAGAUAAUGUAAUGAAACAGGAACGUCGUGCUACUUCUCUCUUUGCCAGAGUUGAAAAAGAUCCUUUUGGUGAUGUUUACUCACCAGGAAAGGCUGAACACUGUCAGCCAUUUCACCUGACGUCGGAACCAUCCUCUCAGCAUGGUGUAGUUCCACACCAACAUGCUUUCCAUGCUCGUGUCCAAACCCUAGUUGAUCAUUCUGGUAGACGAUCUCGCAAAAAUGUAGAGCUUGGCUGUGAGAACUCCCUUAUGACAAGCACAAGUGAUGCUGCUUCCAUAGGACAUCCAAUCAUAGAUUCAAGAGAUCUUCAACAGGCUCUUGAAUCUGAUAGCAGUGGUUCCAUCGGAGAUGGAUAUCGUUAUGUCCACAGGGUCCAACCACUUGAGGUGCGUCAUAUUUCUCAUUCUGAUAAUGUGCAUCACAAUGGUUCCAAUCAAAAAGGUGACAAAGUAUCACCUACUCGUCUUCUUACAAAAGGAGGAAAGAAUAGGAAUGCCAACAUCCUAUCAGCAGUUCUGUGCUUAAUUAAAGAGUUGGAUUAUGCAAGUCUUGAAGUUGUGGAGACAGCCAUUCAUUGCCGCAUGGAAGAAAUGGAUGAUUAAUUACCUCAAAUAAAGACCAUAUUUUGAUGGUUUUAACUUAACAACAAUAACACUUGCAAAGGAAAUAAUUUUAAAUCUGAUUUUACAGUUCUACAGCUAUUGUUGAAAAUUUGUCACCAUGAUGAAAAGAGUUGCCAAGUAGAGUGCUUUUCUUUUUUUUAAGGUAAUGUUAUUAAAAAUAAUUUCACAUGUAGUUUUAUUGCUGUGAAAGCUGAAUCUUAAGGAAAGUAAAUGCUAAUAGAACUUUAAGACCUUGCAAAAAAGUGCUAAUGAGUCUUGCAUAAUUUCCUUUACAUUUUGUAAAAUAUUAGAAAAAAAAAGGCUUGUACAGAGAACUAAUGUAUAUUCCAACGUAUUAUGCUGGUAUACCAGAUACUGCAUUGUGUUUUCAAUUUUCUACUGAUUUCUUUGUUUUAUUUACAAUGUACAGUCAUAAAAAUCAGAAAAUUAAUAAAUUUGAGCAUUUUAUUUGUACAUAAUUUGCCAUUUAGUUUAUACAUUUAUUUAUGCAACACCUUUAACUGAUAAAGUUCAUGUACUGAACUACAGAAGUUCAUUAGGUUGUGCCAUGCAUCCACAUGGUAUUAUAAUAAGUCUACAUUAAGACUGUUUAUUUUAGUAGAAAAAUCUGUAGAUUAUUUGUUUGAUAAAGGCUUAUGUGGUCACUAUUAACAUUUGUUAGUACUAUCAAAAAGGCAAUGUUCUUGAUUUAAGCAGAUAUCUACGUUAUUUAGUACAUUUAUUUUCUUGGUCAUUUCAGGUUUUAAUCAGAAUUUGGUGGUAAUUAUGUAUUUUAUAUUGAUCUAUAGUGGUUUUUUUUCCAAUUCAUAAAGCUUUUCAUACAAGUUAAUAUUUGCUAACAUUUCUUAGGUAUUGAAUAUAGCUGAAUAUUAUUUCCAGUAAAAAAAUAUGAAUUUUACAAAUAUUCAAAUACAAUUAAUACUGUCAUCAGGGUUUCAACUUUACUUCUAGGAAUGUGUAAUAUUAACAAGAACAAUUUUUACAAACAGAUGUAGCUGCUUUACUGAAAUAUAGAUUUUUGCAAGUUAUGGUGCAGUAAAAAUUUAUUUAUCAUUUUGACACUGUAAAAGAAGUGAAUUCAUGAUGUAGUUUCAUAUCAAAAUUUAAUAUGAAACUUCACAAGUUUUACUGUGUUUUCUCCUUACUAAGUUGUUUGUUCUUUGUGGACAAUAUUAGUAGGUAUCUAUUUUUUCCAUAAUAUUGUAUUAGGGCCAAGAGGAUCUUGUCUAGCUCUAGUUGUUAGACCCAGUGCUAAAUAUACUUAGUGAAAUUUAUCAUAUGUGAUUUACUCAGUUUAUCAGUACAGGUAACAUGUAUAUACAUAAGAAGGUAUAGUUGGAGAACAGGAGUUGUGGGAGAUAAAAUGUGAAACUGACUUACUUUCUUGCAUUUUUAGCUCUUACUUAAUGGUUUUGGUGAAGCAUUAUAUUUUAUUGGAAUAUUUUCAUAUAUCCAUUAAUUGUGUUUAGUUUUGAUGUUUGGUGUAUAAGGAGGUUUGUAGUGUAUGGAUUUAAAAACUAAUUAUUGGAUAAGAAAUUGUGCAAGAAAGUUUACAUUAGAAAUGAUUGCUGGCUCAAUAGUUUUACAUGGAAGUUUAUGGCUUGGGAAGCUAAGAAAUGAUCACUGGCUCAGAGUUUGUAAGUUAAAAAUUUUUUUUUUUAGGGUGGGAGUAUUCAAAGUUUUGCACAAGGUCCAGGAAAAAUUCAGAACAGAAUCCUGAUGUCCAAGUAUUAUUUGCGUAUAUAUUUACAAUCUAAUUUGUGUUGAAUUUGAAAUUAAGCACAUAUUAAAUGUUACAAUAGUAGUUAAUAUUACUGUCUAAUUGUAAUCUGGGUAGUAAGUAAUGACUUGCAGUCAAAGGGAAUGUGGAGGCUCAUGGCAGUUAUUAUAUCCCCAUUGGUUGCUUUUGACAAGAUUCAUAGUGGAGAAAAAUUACUACCGAACAUUGUCAAAACAGAUGUCAGAUUUUUUAGCUAUGUCUAAUUUCCUUUUGGAAGUAAAUUUAUAUUUUCAAUUGGUUAGACAAUUUAUCCAAUACAUCAUUAGAAAGUGGAAUUGCUACUUGUUCUUAAGAUAUAGUUUGUUAUAUAAUUUUGCUCUGCCAGCUAGAGAGAGAGAGAGAGAGAGAAUUUGAACAGUUGGAGACAUCUGCAUUGUGAAGAUUAGAGAUGAAAGAUUAAAAUACUAUUGUGAUGAAUUUUGAAGAUAAUUUAUCUUUAAAAUUAAAGAGCAAAAGGAUUAAGGUCUUACAGAUUUGUGUAAAAUGUAAAACUUCCCAUCAGUUUGAGGGUCUAUAUUAGGAGUCAGUGAGUUAGUUAUUACAAGGGAUUGAUUUAAAUGUAUGCAUAUUUUAUUUUUCAAUUGGAGAUGAUGUAUUAUCCAUUGCAUUUUUUCUUCUGUCAAUCACUGUAAUCUAAUUGAUUACAUGGGUAUUUAAUGAUAUUAAGGGCAAGUGAUAAUCACAGCAAAACACAAAGCUGUAAUUGUGGAAUGGGUUUAAGUGAGAGCUAGAAGUAAGUGUACAAAUGAAUGCAGGUGAGUUAAAAACCACUAGAGAUAGCAGGCUUACAUGGAUCUGCAAAGACAGACAUUACACAGUGUUCAGCUACAUAUCUGUUUGUUGGAAUUAAUGUAGAAUACUCCAAAGAAAACUUGAAAAGGAACACAGUCCUUUAGGCCCUACGGUUCCAUCACAUGUGUAGAGUUAGUAAAGUUGGACAAUUAAUCUACUUAAUAUUAUGUCAUAAACAGAUGUUCUUUUUCACAUUAUCUGAGGUUUUCAAGCGUUUCUUUCUCUUGUGUUUCUGUAUUUUCCUAUCAUUGUACCUGGCUAUUAUUUAAAGUUUUGAUGUUAUAAAUGUAAAAGGUGAUAUUUAUGAGAUGGGGAAUAAUCUUUGCAUUAAACUGGUUACAGAUAGUAUUUAUAUUAAACCCCAAGUCCAUUUUGACUCUGCAACUUUAGUGUUAACUUAUCAGAAAAAAACAUUGAGGCACCAAAUUAUGGUUACAAAAAGUAAUUAAAUGUUGGUUUAUUACAUUUAAAAUAACAACUUUGAAGUUUAUUGACAUUUGUUACCGCUAUUUAUCAAGAGUAGAAGUAACAUAGAUUUAUUUCACGAUGUGGACACUAUCAAUAGUCAAGUCAUCUUUUUUUUCUAUUAUUGCCACAUUACUAAAAAAUACAGUUUUAUCAUACUAAAAAUCAUUGAAAGUUGGACAUGAAAAGAAGAGCAAUCAAAGCCAUCCUCAAACAUUUUCAAAAAAGCCUUUAGUAGGUAGUAUGCUUUCACUAAAAGUGGUUGAGUUUUUGACAAUUUCAGUAUCUGGCUGAUCAAAAUGUGAUUUUACUUCUCACAUUUCCAUUUCUAGCAAUUCAAAGUUGUUCUAAAUUGACAUAGACAACUACACUUGCCUAAUCUUCUUAGCUGUUUAAUGUACCAAUAAAGUUCUUGAAAUUGUUUUGUAAAAAAAAAACUCUUCAAAUUAUUCUAUUGUCCUCAGAUCCUUCAAGUGAGACAUUAGUAAGUAAUUUCCAUUGUCACAUGUUUGAUUUAAAGAUAUGGAGGAGAAAAUUUAUCUGCAAUAGAAAACACUAGUUAAGUAAACUUCAACACCUAAAUUUUCAAAAUUAGUCCAACUGCAUGAGCGAGCCAUUAGUUUUAGCUGUGUAAUCAUCUCGACUCUAACUGAUUUCUUUCAAAGUGCUGUUAGAACUUUGUUGAUCAGAAAGAUGCUAUUAAUAGAAGCAUUCAUUACUAAUAAUCUUUCAAAUAUGUUGUCUUUAUGAUGAACGUUUAUUACCUGUAUUAACUCAUAAAUAAUAGCUAUGCCAUUAUCAACAAAGUUACACUAUAUCCUGUAGACACAGAUUUAAAUUGUGACCCAAGCAAUGCAAAUACAAUUAUCAUUUUUUUUUCUUUUUUAACAAGAGCUUUAACACUAUUAUGCACAUCACCCAUACUUGUAGCAUCAUCAUAAGCUUGGCCUCUGCAAUGUGACAGUGAGUUUGGAUCAGCACAUCUUUGAUAUUACUAAGUAAUGUUAAAGAUUUGGUAUUCAACUGCACAAGACCAAGUGGCUCCUCUUGAAUUAAAUAAUUGCUAUAAAUCCACCAAGUGAUAUGCUCAUUACUACAAAUACCUGUUGUUUAAGCAAUUAUAGCAAACCAUUGUUUUUAAUACCAGUUAAAACCUGCUCCAUCACAAUGUUAUCCAUUUCCAUAUUAUGGUAAAUCUUUUAUUCACAAUUUCUAGUAAAAUGCAUUUCCUUGUGGAAUUGCAGUCUUUUAGUUCUGGGAAAGCUUCAUUUUAAAAAGUUAACUAACAAAAGUUCCCUUCAAAUGCUACAAGAUCUUUAUGAUGGCCUCUCAUUGGAAACACCUUUGUUUAACCAGGAAGUGAACACAUAAAAGCAAUUUUACAAAGAAUACUCGGUGACGUUUUUAAGUUAUUUCUAGUUGUGUAUCCAACUGAAUAGCAAUUGUAGUAUAUAGUGACUUAGCUUUUAUAUCACUUUCCAAUGUAGAUCUAGAUAAUUUAUUUCAUGCUGAGCAAAUUACUGAUGAUCUUUCUUCAAAUUACAAAACUCAUCUUUAAGAAAAAUAAUAUUUUUGGAAAAUUUAGAGAAGAUUCUUUUCUGAUAACUGUGAAUGUCACUACUGUGGUGAACCAAGUACCCUACAACACCUAAUACUGUCUUAAUGGACUCCAAAAAAUCUAUACCACUAUUCCAAGCCAAAGAAAGCAGGUGUAAUGAAGUUCUAUAGUAGACAGAUGCAACCUAGUUGGUAUGGAAAUCAGUGUGUUUACUAAUGUACUUUAGAGCUUAAAAAUAUUUUGUCAUGCAUAGAAAGCUGCUGAACACUAAUGGCUCUGACAUUUCAAAAUAUUAGAAAUCUGUUUUUCCUGAUGGUCAAAGUUGUAAUGAUUCAUAACUUGUUGACAUAUGUAUUCUACAUAAUUGAGUUAUUAAAACUUCAUUUUUUUUGUUCUAUAUGUAGGUUGUUUUUCAGCUACCAUACUAAGUGCUGGGUUGGGCUAAUUGGAUAGCCAGGUCAGGCUUGCUAACUAAUUAUUUGGUCAAGCAUGCCGACUUGUGUACAAUUUUAUUACACUUAAGACAUAAAAACAUUUUAUAGAAACUUCUACUCCAUGCUUCAAAAAUCCAUGAAAGUUUUUUUUCAUGUGCUAUCAUCAUAUAGAUGAUAUAAUGCUUGUUGUACAGCAUGGCUCAUUAGAGACUAGAUAUAAUGCUUAUUGUACACCAGCAUGGUUUAUUAGAAACCAGAUAUAAUGCUUAUUGUACACCAGCUUGGUUCAUUAGAAACCAGAUAUAAUAAUCAUUCAUUAGAGAGUGAAUAUAAUGCUAUUCGUAUAUGAACAUGGUUCAUUAGAAACUGGAGGUAAUGGUUAUUGUACACAACCUUGGUUCAUUGGAGACUGUAUAUAAUGUUUAUUUUAUAGGAACUUUGUUCAUAGCUUCCAAGUAUGAGACACAAGUUAUUCAGUUUCUGUUUAUGAUCAUGCCAAAGGAUGCUUAUAUGAUUGAACCAAAUGCCAGUGCUUGACCUACAGGCUAGCAUUAAUGUAACAGUGUCUAGCACAUGCUGUUCAAAUUAGGUAAAGUGGGGAUGAUAUAUAUGUUGCCUUUUAACCUCAGCCAAAUUUGGUAUGUUGAAACAUAUUCUCUACACUCACGGCUAUAGUAUUUGUAAGAAAAUUCACUUAAGUUAAUUGGAAUAAAAUUUUUACUGUACCGUGCACUUGAUAAUAAACAGCUUAUUUCCUCUUGUUGCAUCACUAGGGUUGAAAAGAAUCCAAUUACGAACUCGUAUAAAAGUUAUGCUGGACCAAGU